AUUUUGUUUUGACUUGAAAAGGUGACGAUGAUGGAGUAAAGGACAAGUGAUGAUUGGCUGGAUUUCUAACUAGUGAAAAUUGACUGAAACUGCAGGGACACGUCAGGAGUUUUCUUUGUCUUGAUACCAACUUUGGUUCCACUGUGUCAGCAUCAGAAUGUGAUCCUGAGUGAAGCAAUUGGGUCCCAGAAAAUCUUCUACUGGCCUGGUGCCCAGUGAAAGGGUAAUCUUCUUUUUGUUUGCUUUUAAUGUUGUAUUUAAGUUAUAUUCUCGGAUAGUGCACUUAUCUUGUGGUCCAAGAAAGAAACUUUUGUUUUUGUAUUUAGGUUUGGAAAAACAUGCAUGAUGCAUAUGCCCUCAAAAUCUUAUCAGUCUAAAUUUUCAAGCUAGAA